rnacentral:rRNA from 1 species
UUUGUGGAGAGUUUGAUCCUGGCUCAGGACGAACGCUGGCGGCGUGCUUAACACAUGCAAGUCGAACGGAAAGGCCCUGCUUGCAGGGUACUCGAGUGGCGAACGGGUGAGUAACACGUGGGUGAUCUGCCCUGCACUUCGGGAUAAGCCUGGGAAACUGGGUCUAAUACCGGAUAGGAGCCAUUUUUAGUGUGAUGGUUGGAAAGUUUUUCGGUGUAGGAUGAGCUCGCGGCCUAUCAGCUUGUUGGUGGGGUAAUGGCCUACCAAGGCGGCGACGGGUAGCCGGCCUGAGAGGGUGGACGGCCACAUUGGGACUGAGAUACGGCCCAGACUCCUACGGGAGGCAGCAGUGGGGAAUAUUGCACAAUGGGCGCAAGCCUGAUGCAGCGACGCCGCGUGGGGGAUGACGGCCUUCGGGUUGUAAACUCCUUUCGCUAGGGACGAAGCUUUUUGUGACGGUACCUAGAUAAGAAGCACCGGCUAACUACGUGCCAGCAGCCGCGGUAAUACGUAGGGUGCGAGCGUUGUCCGGAAUUACUGGGCGUAAAGGGCUCGUAGGUGGUUUGUCGCGUCGUCUGUGAAAUUCCGGGGCUUAACUCCGGGCGUGCAGGCGAUACGGGCAUAACUUGAGUACUGUAGGGGUAACUGGAAUUCCUGGUGUAGCGGUGAAAUGCGCAGAUAUCAGGAGGAACACCGAUGGCGAAGGCAGGUUACUGGGCAGUUACUGACGCUGAGGAGCGAAAGCAUGGGUAGCGAACAG